GACGAACGCUGGCGGCGUGCUUAACACAUGCAAGUCGAACGGAAAGGCCCUGCUUUUGUGGGGUGCUCGUGUGGCGAACGGGUGAGUCACACGUGUGUACCCUGCCCCUGACUUUGGGAUAACUUCAGGAAACUGGGGCUUAUCCCGGAUAGGCGCUCCUUCUGCAUGUUGUGGGUUGGAAAGUUUCGGCGGUUGGGGAUGGACUCGCGGCCUAUCGGCUUGUUGGUGGGGUAGUGGCUUACCAAGGCUUUGACGGGUAGCCGGCCUGGGUGGGUGACCGGCCACAUUGGGACUGAGAUACGGCCCAGACUCCUACGGGAGGCAGCGGUGGGGAAUAUUGCACAAUGGGCGGAAGCCUGAUGCAGCAACGCCGCGUGCGGGAUGACGGCCUUCGGGUUGUAAACCGCUUUCGCCUGUGACGAAGCGUGAGUGACGGUAAUGGGUAAAGAAGCACCGGCUAACUACGUG
rnacentral:rRNA from 1 species